rnacentral:rRNA from 1 species
GACGAACGCUGGCGGCGUGCUUAACACAUGCAAGUCGAACGGAAAGGCCCUGCUUUUGUGGGGUGCUCGAGUGGCGAACGGGUGAGUAACACGUGAGUAACCUGCCCUUGACUUUGGGAUAACUUCAGGAAACUGGGGCUAAUACCGGAUAGGAGCUCCUGCUGCAUGGUGGGGGUUGGAAAGUUUCGGCGGUUGGGGAUGGACUCGCGGCUUAUCAGCUUGUUGGUGGGGUAGUGGCUUACCAAGGCUUUGACGGGUAGCCGGCCUGAGAGGGUGACCGGCCACAUUGGGACUGAGAUACGGCCCAGACUCCUACGGGAGGCAGCAGUGGGGAAUAUUGCACUAUGGGCGGAAGCCUGAUGCAGCAACGCCGCGUGCGGGAUGACGGCCUUCGGGUUGUAAACCGCUUUCGCCUGUGACGAAGCGUGAGUGACGGUAAUGGGUAGAGAAGCACCGGCUAACUACGUG